ACGAACGCUGGCGGCGUGCCUAAUACAUGCCCGUAGAACGCACAGUUUAUACCGUAGCUUGCUACACCAUAGCCUGUGAGUUGCGAACGGGUGAGUAACGCGUAGGUAACCUGCCUGGUAGCGGGGGAUAACUAUUGGAAACGAUAGCUAAUACCGCAUAAUAUUAAUUAUUGCAUGAUAAUUAAUUGAAAGGUGCAAUUGCACCACUACCAGAUGGACCUGCGUUGUAUUAGCUAGUAGGUGAGGUAACGGCUCACCUAGGCGACGAUACAUAGCCGACCUGAGAGGGUGAUCGGCCACACUGGGACUGAGACACGGCCCAGACUCCUACGGGAGGCAGCAGUAGGGAAUCUUCGGCAAUGGACGAAAGUCUGACCGAGCAACGCCGCGUGAGUGAAGAAGGUUUUCGGAUCGUAAAGCUCUGUUGUAAGAGAAGAACGGGUGUGAGAGUGGAAAGUUCACACUGUGACGGUAUCUUACCAGAAAGGGACGGCUAACUACGUG
rnacentral:rRNA from 1 species